GGGGAAUUUUGGACAAUGGGCGAAAGCCUGAUCCAGCCAUGCCGCGUGCAGGAUGAAGGCCUUCGAGUUGUAAACUGCUUUUGUACGGAACGAAAAGCCUCUUUCUAAUAAAGAGAGGUCAUGACGGUACCGUAAGAAUAAGCACCGGCUAACUACGUGCCAGCAGCCGCGGUAAUACGUAGGGUGCGAGCGUUAAUCGGAAUUACUGGGCGUAAAGCGUGCGCAGGCGGUGAUGUAAGACAGAUGUGAAAUCCCCGGGCUCAACCUGGGAACUGCAUUUGUGACUGCAUCGCUGGAGUGCGGCAGAGGGGGAUGGAAUUCCGCGUGUAGCAGUGAAAUGCGUAGAUAUGCGGAGGAACACCGAUGGCGAAGGCAAUCCCCUGGGCCUGCACUGACGCUCAUGCACGAAAGCGUGGGGAGCAAACAGGAUUAGAUACCCUGGUAGUCCACGCCCUAAACGAUGUCAACUGGUUGUUGGGUCUUCACUGACUCAGUAACGAAGCUAACGCGUGAAGUUGACCGCCUGGGGAGUACGGCCGCAAGGUUG
rnacentral:rRNA from 1 species